CAAAUUUCAGGUCAAUAAGACACACGGUUUGUGAGCUACAGGUGAUUUAAAAUCCUGGACAGACAAAUGAACAGCCACGCUAGUGUAUUAUACAGCAUAUAAAGAUAAAAAAUUGGGAGAAUGUGCUGUUAGCACGUUGCCGCACCCACCACAUGCCGAACCACCUGGAUUGGGACCUGUGUGCAGUGGGUGACACCUCAAGAUGGCACUGAAAUUCAGUGAAUCCAUGGAAAUGCUCCACAAUAUCUGAAGGAACUCCUUAUACUACAAACCACUGCAAGAAACCUCCGUUUUGCAAAUACCUACCGCCUUCACCCCCCGAUGACCAAACUUACAUACAAUGGAUGACCGAGCCUUUGCAGCCGCUGCUCCACGGCUUUGGAAUGCCUUACCAGAGAGCCU